rnacentral:misc_RNA from 1 species
GAUGAAGAACGUAGCGAAAUGCGAUAAGUAAUGUGAAUUGCAGAAUUCAGUGAAUCAUCGAAUCUUUGAACGCACAUUGCGCCCGCCAGCAUUCUGGCGGGCAUGCCUGUUCGAGCGUCAUUUCAACCCUCGAGCCCGACUUCCUUGCGGAGGACGGCUCGGCGUUGGGGGACGGCACACUCCCCCCGGCUCGCCGGGGACGCCGCCCCCGAAAUUCAGUGGCGGCCCUCGGAGGCGACCUCUGCGUAGUAACUCAACCUCGCAAAGGGAAGCUCCGAGCGGCCACGCCGUGAAACCCCAACUAUAUCAAGGUUGACCUCGAAUCAGGUAGGACUACCCGCUGAACUUAAGCAUAUCAAUAAGCGGAGGA